rnacentral:rRNA from 1 species
UACGUAGGGCGCAAGCGUUGUCCGGAAUUAUUGGGCGUAAAGAGCUCGUAGGCGGCUUGUCACGUCGGGUGUGAAAGCCCGGGGCUUAACCCCGGGUCGGCAUUCGAUACGGGCUAGCUAGAGUGUGGUAGGGGAGAUCGGAAUUCCUGGUGUAGCGGUGAAAUGCGUAGAUAUCUGGAGGAACACCGGUGGCGAAGGCGGCAUCCUGGACCAUGACUGACGCUGAGGAGCGAAAGCCAGGGGAGCAAACGGG